UUGAACGCUGGCGGCAGGCCUAACACAUGCAAGUCGAGCGGUAACACAGAGAGCUUGCUCUCGGGUGACGAGCGGCGGACGGGUGAGUAAUGUCUGGGAAACUGCCUGAUGGAGGGGGAUAACUACUGGAAACGGUAGCUAAUACCGCAUAACGUCGCAAGACCAAAGUGGGGGACCUUCGGGCCUCAUGCCAUCAGAUGUGCCCAGAUGGGAUUAGCUAGUAGGUGGGGUAACGGCUCACCUAGGCGACGAUCCCUAGCUGGUCUGAGAGGAUGACCAGCCACACUGGAACUGAGACACGGUCCAGACUCCUACGGGAGGCAGCAGUGGGGAAUAUUGCACAAUGGGCGCAAGCCUGAUGCAGCCAUGCCGCGUGUGUGAAGAAGGCCUUCGGGUUGUAAAGCACUUUCAGCGGGGAGGAAGGCGGUGAGGUUAAUAACCUCAUCGAUUGACGUUACCCGCAGAAGAAGCACCGGCUAACUCCGUGCCAGCAGCCGCGGUAAUACGGAGGGUGCAAGCGUUAAUCGGAAUUACUGGGCGUAAAGCGCACGCAGGCGGUCUGUCAAGUCGGAUGUGAAAUCCCCGGGCUCAACCUGGGAACUGCAUUCGAAACUGGCAGGCUAGAGUCUUGUAGAGGGGGGUAGAAUUCCAGGUGUAGCGGUGAAAUGCGUAGAGAGCUGGAGGAAUACCGGUGGCGAAGGCGGCCCCCUGGACAAAGACUGACGCUCAGGUGCGAAAGCGUGGGGAGCAAACAGGAUUAGAUACCCUGGUAGUCCACGCCGUAAACGAUGUCGAUUUGGAGGUUGUGCCCUUGAGGCGUGGCUUCCGGAGCUAACGCGUUAAAUCGACCGCCUGGGGAGUACGGCCGCAAGGUUAAAACUCAAAUGAAUUGACGGGGGCCCGCACAAGCGGUGGAGCAUGUGGUUUAAUUCGAUGCAACGCGAAGAACCUUACCUGGUCUUGACAUCCACAGAACAUUCCAGAGAUGGAUUGGUGCCUUAGGAAACUGUGAGACAGGUGCUGCAUGGCUGUCGUCAGCUCGUGUUGUGAAAUGUUGGGUUAAGUCCCGCAACGAGCGCAACCCUUAUCCUUUGUUGCCAGCGGUUAGGCCGGGAACUCAAAGGAGACUGCCAGUGAUAAACUGGAGGAAGGUGGGGAUGACGUCAAGUCAUCAUGGCCCUUACGACCAGGGCUACACACGUGCUACAAUGGCAUAUACAAAGAGAAGCGACCUCGCGAGAGCAAGCGGACCUCAUAAAGUAUGUCGUAGUCCGGAUUGGAGUCUGCAACUCGACUCCAUGAAGUCGGAAUCGCUAGUAAUCGUAGAUCAGAAUGCUACGGUGAAUACGUUCCCGGGCCUUGUACACACCGCCCGUCACACCAUGGGAGUGGGUUGCAAAAGAAGUAGGUAGCUUAACCUUCGGGAGGGCGCUUACCACUUUGUGAUUCAUGACUGGGGUG
rnacentral:rRNA from 1 species